GUCGCCGAAGGCCGGGGCCCCUGGACCUGGGCUCGCCGUUGGGAGUGAGCCAACCAGAGAGAACUGGCGGACCCGCCGAAGAAGGCCGAGGUCGGAGCGGCGCCGCGCCCUGCGGUUGCAAAUGAAUGAACUGGCAAGAGCCGAGGACUGCAGUGAGGAGCAUUGGCCUGCCACGAGGCUCCGAGUGUGACCUGUGCAGGCCAAAGCUGGUGAUGGUGGCAGUGGCAGCAGCUUACCCUGGGGACAGGCUGUUUUUUCCAACGGAUGGUCCGCCAUGCUGCAGCAGGGGCAGAACUUGAAGUUCCAAGGACCAGUAGUCACAAUGAAUUUGGACUCCAGAUGGAAACCUAGGCUUCAACAUUUGGUGUAGAAAGUCUCACCUUGCCCCACUGGUUUGACGCAGUGGAUAGAGCAUCGGCCUGCGGACUGAAGGGUCCCAGGUACAAUUCCAGUCAAGGGCAUAUAUGCCCAGGCUG